CAGCAGCCGCGGUAAUACGAGGGGGGCAAGUGUUGUUCGGAAUCUCUGGGCGUAAAGGGAGCGUAGGCGGAUGUUUAAGUCGGGAGUUUAAAACCGGGGCCCAACCCCGGAGCGGCUCCCGAAACUGGGCAUCUUGAAUAGGUCAGAGGCUGGUGGAAUUGGAGGUGUAGCGGUGGAAUGCGUAGAGAUCUCCAAGAACACCUAUUGCGAAGGCAGCCAGCUGGGACCAUAUUGACGCUGAGGCUCGAAAGCAUGGGGAGCAAACAGGAUUAGAUACCCUGGUAGUCCAUGCCGUAAACGAUGAACACUAGGUUUUGGGCUCGUCAACGGUCCAGAGCCGCAGCUAACGCGUUAAGUGUUCCGCCUGGGGAAUACGGUCGCAAGACUGAAACUCAAAGGAAUUGACGG
rnacentral:rRNA from 1 species